rnacentral:rRNA from 1 species
UACAGAGGGUGCGAGCGUUGUUCGGAAUUACUGGGCUUAAAGGGCGCGUAGGCUGCGCAGAAAGUUGGGUGUGAAAUCCCUCGGCUCAACCGAGGAACUGCGCCCAAAACUACUGUGCUCGAGGAAGACAGAGGUGAGCGGAACUUAGGGUGGAGCGGUGAAAUGCGUUGAUAUCCUAAGGAACACCCGUGGCGAAAGCGGCUCACUGGGUCUUUUCUGACGCUGAGGCACGAAAGCUAGGGUAGCGAACGGG